CCUCUGUACACCCCCACCUAUAAAUCCGCCCAUAGCCUAUCGAAGGGAGGAUGGCUGUGAAACUCAUUAGAAUAACAAUAUAACUCAUUAUCUAUGUUGGUCAACGUUUAUUCAUAAAUCUGGUUCUUCACCGUCACAUAUAUGUGUAUUGUAUUCUUGCCCAACUAACCAAUAGCAAUGUUUUAGGAAAGUCACCUAUCCGUGACUCGAACAAUAGGGAAACUGGAAAUUGCUAUUGGUGGAUUUGGUAAAAAUACAAUACACACGUGACGGUGAAGGACCAGAUUUAUGAAUAAACGUUGACCAACAUCAUAAUGAGUUAUAUUGUUAUUCUAAUGAGUUUCACAGCCAUCUUCCCUUCGAUAGGCUAGCUAUGAUCCGCCACAGCUGUGUUGGGACACCCUGAAUAAGGCAAGGUUGUACCACAUACAACUUACUGCAUGUGCUACCUACUCAAACUUGUUUUUAUGUUCAUAGAUAAUGUGUUUCAUAGCAACCGUUAUAUUCGGCGUGGAUGCAUUCUUCAACUUCCAGUUAUUCCGAGGCAAAGAAACACCAUCAGCAGGGCCGCCCGCUGUACCCACAUAAACUGGAUGGAUAUUACAAAAACUUUUUACUCUUGUAACUUUAGAUACCGGUAGAAAUUAAGUUAGUUUUCUAGAUUAUAUAUAUGCACUUGUAGUCCAUUCAUUGUAUGUUAAUUAUGCAUAAUUAAUUAGCUAGCCUGAAAGAUGUGUAUUUGAUUUCUUUAAACAGUUAUGUAUUGUUAGGAUGCUUUUAUUAUACUGAAAGAUUAAAACAUUGAAAUGUGUGUUCUUAUUUACCAGGUACUAUAUAUAGUAUAGAAACAAAAGCCAUGGUGGCCAUGAUGGUGUUCCAG